rnacentral:rRNA from 1 species
GACGUAGGGCGCGAGCGUUGUCCGGAUUUAUUGGGCGUAAAGAGCUCGUAGGCGGCUUGUCGCGUCGACUGUGAAAACCCGCGGCUCAACUGCGGGCCUGCAGUCGAUACGGGCAGGCUAGGAGUUCGGUAGGGGAGACUGGAAUUCCUGGUGUAGCGGUGAAAUGCGCAGAUAUCAGGAAGGAACACCCGGUGGCGAAGGCGGGUCUCU